UACGAAGGGGGCUAGCGUUGCUCGGAAUUACUGGGCGUAAAGCGCGUGUAGGCUGCUCCGCAAGUCGGAUGUGAAAGCCCUGGGCUCAACCUAGGAAGUGCAUUCGAAACUUCGGAGCUGGAGUCCUGGAGAGGAAGGCGGAAUUCUCGGUGUAGAGGUGAAAUUCGUAGAUAUCGAGAGGAACACCGGUGGCGAAGGCGGCCUUCUGGACAGUGACUGACGCUGAGACGCGAAAGCGUGGGGAGCAACAGG
rnacentral:rRNA from 1 species